CCCUGUUUCGAAGACCAGCAAACAAUUGGUCAGUUGACAGAAGACUGAGGAGAGACACUAAUUUCAGCAUUGAGAAGGGUAGGAGGGAGAGCUUUCAGUUACAUGGCGGUUGGUUACAACAACAUUGAUGUCAAUGCUGCUAACAGGUAUGGUGUUGCUGUUGGAAACACUCCUGUUUAUUCGAAACCUGCUUAAAGGACAGACUGUAGGGGGUGAUUGGAGUUGGUCGCAUUGGAUCUGCUUAUGCCAAAAGGAUGGUUUAAGGAUUCAAGAUGAACCUAAUUUACUAUGAUCUUUACCAGGCCAUACGCCUAGAAAAGUUUGUGAGAGGCAUGCCAAAGUGAACCAUUGAUGUUAAAAAGUUAUGUGCUUCUUUUUCUCAGAAUGAAAAGAAAAGGAGAGGGAAAACUUGUAUACGAGUUUAUGCACUUUUUCUCAGAAGUAGUCAAGGAACUGCUCCUUGUGUAUGAGUUUAUGUAGAGGAGAAACUUGGAUCAUCAUCUUUGUAGAAGUAUAACUUUUAUGAGAAAAUCAAGAAAAUAAAAUCACUUGUGCAUGGAUUAUAUAUAAAUGAGAUUUUUUGUUAGUUUUUAGUCUUUUACCAUGUAUACAUAUUUAUGCUAUCAAGUGUUUUAUGCUUCCAAAGUUUAGAUGAACAUUUGAUAUA